GCGUAGGGUAAUUAGGCGGUAAAUGAUCCUGAAAAUUAAAUACUAGAUACUCAUCUUUUAUGUUUUCUUGUGAAUUUACUAGAAUCUUAGGGGUGAAAUAGGUACGUGUAAGGAGGGGUUAAAUACAUAGAUCUGAUCUAGGGACCGACAGUGGCGAAAGCAUUUUUCUUCUCGAGUAUUGAGCUGAAUGACGAAGGUAGGGGAGCAAAGGGGAUUAGACACCCUCGUAGUCCGUAUGUCAACGCUGAGUUUUCAAUGUAGGAUUUAUUUAAGUAAAAUUUUGGUGUUUGAGUAACGCAUUAAAUUCUCCGCUGGGAAGUACGAUCGCAGAUUGAAACUCAAAAGAAUUGAGGUGACUUGUACAAAG
rnacentral:rRNA from 1 species